CUGAGUCGUGUAUCUACACAAAAGCUUCCCUUGCAUCUCUCUGUUCCGCUACUGUUGUCAAGGUUUUUAUAUCCAUUACUACUGCAGUGAUUGAAUUUGACUGCAAAUAUUGACUGUUUGAGUUGUCAAUCUGUGAGAGGGUGCAGGUGGUCUGUCAGAGGGAUAUUUUAUUGCAAACAGAUUUGUCAUCAGACACAACCACCACCUGUUGGUUCAGCCACAUCCUCUGGUAUGUCCGUUGCACCUGCACAGCUAGGGAGGUGUGGCCAGAGCAACUUACGAGACUGAAGCAGCAUAAUGCCCGAAGAGCAUAAAACCACGUAGGCCUAACACUCUGGAACCUCAGGGCUAAUCUGCGGAACUACCUGUUCAGCCCCCUCCUCCUUACCAACUAUGAGGUUUUCUCUAUGGUAUGGUGUGUUUUUCCUGUCUCUGUUUCAGUCUGUGUGUUCAGUGAGGCACGGUAUUUUCAGUUUGACUGACC
rnacentral:lncRNA from 1 species